rnacentral:lncRNA from 1 species
CCGACCCUAUAAAAUGGAGCCCACAAUCCCUCCACACGGCGAGGAAAAAGGUAAGAAAAAGAAACAAAACUCAGAAUGAACAUAGCAUCAAAACAAAACACAGCUGUAAUGUAACAAUACAAAACAAACAGUGUCAGGUCAGCAUUCAACAACACACGGAAACAACGAAACUGAAACCAAAACUAAAAAAAGUCAAUAAGGGCAACCUUUGCCUUUUACAAUUCCAUUUCUUCCUUUCUUUCUUUGCAAAAACAAAACGACUUCAAGAGACGACUUUUUUCCUCUCUACAUAAACUGUUAUAAUACUAAUUUUCAUCAUCUUUUAUAUUCUAUCUGUUCUUCUUUCUGUUUUUAUCAACAAUCAAACACCACCCAGAUCUUCCUUUUCCUUUUUUCCGGGGGAAUUUUCAUUUUUAAUAG